rnacentral:rRNA from 1 species
CGUAGGGUCCGAGCGUUGUCCGGAAUUACUGGGCGUAAAGAGCUCGUAGGCGGCUCGUUGCGUCGGCUGUGAAAACCCGCAGCUCAACUGUGGGCUUGCAGCCGAUACGGGCGGGCUGGAGUUCGGUAGGGGAGACUGGAAUUCCUGGUGUAGCGGUGAAAUGCGCAGAUAUCAGGAAGAACACCCGUGGCGAAGGCGGCUCUCUGGUACGUGACUGACGCUGAGACGCGAAAGCGUGGGGAGCAAACAGG